UACGUAGGCAGCGAGCGUUGUUCGGAGUUACUGGGCGUAAAGGGCUCGUAGGCGGUCUGUUGCGUCGGUAGUGAAAACUCAGGGCUUAACCCUGAGCCUGCUUCCGAUACGGGCAGACUAGAGGUAUGCAGGGGAGAACGGAAUUCCUGGUGUAGCGGUGAAAUGCGCAGAUAUCAGGAGGAACACCGGUGGCGAAGGCGGUUCUCUGGGCAUUACCUGACGCUGAGGAGCGAAAGUGUGGGGAGCGAACAGG
rnacentral:rRNA from 1 species